CCAUCCUAACCCCCAGCACGGGGCAGUUCUCAUUACUGACCACCUCAAAUGCAAAGAGAAGGGAAAAUCUGAUUUCUGUUUAAUUUUAAAGAAAUCUACAUUAUACAUUAUCAUACACGUGGUCUUCUACAUUAAAAAAAACUCACCUAAAUUUUGAUUAUUUGGUUUUGUUAUAUCCACUACUGCUGCUGCUGCUCCAGGGAGGGUUUAGUAAAACUCCUCAGAGCCAAGGUACACCAGGUGUACAUCCAAGGAGUUGUACAAUUCUCUCCCUCCCCGUGGCUCAAACCCUUCCCCUCAGCCUCCUGAUCUGACACCAUAUUCUCUUUUCCAGGCCGAAGCCCAAUUAAAAAAGAACAGCUUUCUAAUUUUAGGGAUUUAUGAAAAGCACGAAACAAAGUGUCUCAUUCUCCUCCAGUAAAUCUAUUUAUUUCCUUCAUGGCCAGGGGCAAAGGAGGUUUUUUGAACCCAUUUCCCAGCAAAAGGUCGUUUCCCUCGUGAUUCACCGCCGGGUGAGGAAAUGCUGUGCCCUGACUGGUAAAAAUUCUGGGAAAAAAAAAAACCCUGUGGUGCCCAAAGCACGUCCCUUAUCCAUUUUAUACAAGAACUGUCCAUGUUCCAAAGGAUUCCAAUGCUCCAGAGGUGUCUCAGCACUGCCCGUUCCUGGGAAAAGCUCUCCCAGGGACUGCGGGACGAGUCACGCCCGGAACAUCGGCGACAUUUUGAGGUUUCUUUUCUUUCUCACCCAAUUCUUGGGAGGCCUGAGGAGCGACUGCAAGAACCUUUGGAACUACAGAAGGAUUUUUCUGCAAGGCACCAGGAUGAAGCACCGACCCCAGAGGAGAAAAAAAUUGUAUUUUCCCUGGGCCAGCUUAAAAAGGCACCUUUCUUCGUGGGAGCCCUCUGAGCCUUCAAUGGUUAAUUUUUUUCCAGACAGUGAUCUAAACUGGCUCAACGGAUCCCACUACACCACUGCAGAAAAUCCAGGGCAAACAUCCCAUAAAUGCAGGGAUCUGGGAGUGGAGGAGCUGAACCUUUAUUUGGGGUGAUGCCACAACCCUGAGCCUCAGGACCAGCAAAAUCCUCCAAGGACUGGGGGAAGGAGCUGCAAGUGAGACCUAAACCCUGCGUGGGGCAAAGCCUGGAAGAAAGCACCACCCCAGCACAGCUGAGCUGCCUCCUGCUGUAUUUUUCCACUUGAUGGGUGCAGGUAUUAAUUACUGAGCUGGGAAUUACUCACCCGAUGAGGGCCACCAUCUGCUCCACGAUGUGUUUGCUGAAGGUGAUGAUAACGAAGAGUUUCUGUGGAGGGACAAGAGCAGUCACACAAAGCCUGGAGCACUUUGUGCUCCUUCCCCAGCAGCUCCUGCCCAGCUUUCCCUCCUCUCCUCUUUAUUUUUCAAAGCCUGGAGCACUUUGUGCUCCUUCCCCAGCAGCUCCUGCCUACCUUUCUCUCCUCUCCUCUUUAUUUUUCAACUUUCUCCUCAGAAAAGAGGCAGGAGAGAGAAAAAAAAAAAAAAAAAGCUGUUCACUUUCUGCCCCUGUUUGCUCACAGUUUGCAUUUCUUGCAGUGCUUUUUGCUGCCCAUUCUCAUCCUCCCCAAACUCCCAUUCCCAGAAGCUCAAGGUCACUUUACUCUGUCAACAAUGUUAGAAUGGAAAAACAGCCAGGGAAAUUCACAGCCCCUCACACAAACAGGAUCACAGAGGGGAAAAUAAUGUGGUUUAGGCCCCUGAUUCAGACAGAAACAGCAAAAAAAUCCUCAGCGAAGAACAAAGAAAGAGCCUUUGGGCACCUGUGAGACUGUGAUAAAACAGAAUAAUCAGUCCCUAAUAAUCACAGUCCUAACCCCAAUCCAAAAUGUAUCCUAAAACUCUUCAUAAAAACAACUUAGCAGAGCAAUAUUAAAUAUGAAAAUCUAGCAAGUUUUACCCCUAAAUAAAAAUCAAACCUGUACCCAUGAGGCUGUAAUUCCAAAUAUAAUAUUUAAUAAUAUUAAAAACUAUUAAACAUAUUAAAGGACAAACUUCAAAUACAAUUUCAACCUUACAAGAAAAAAGUCCACCAUUUAUCUAAUAUAAUUUUACAAAACAGAAUAACUCUUGGUUUCCUACUAACCACAAAAUCAUUAACACUUCUGCAAAUCAGAAUGAAAAAAUGAAAUGGAAUUGACAUCAUUUUAGUAAGGUAAUAUAAAAGGAGCCCUGGGAUGGCCACUGCACCAGUCACUCACUUCCUGUCUGAACAUUGCAUUAAAAGCCUUUUCCAUGACUCUCACAUUUCCUAAAUUCCAAGUCCAGCCAGAUCACUCCAAAAAAUCAAGGCUAUUGCACAAGGGUGUGCUUGAAAAAGAGAAUUCUAAAAGCUGAGCCUAUUACAAAAUCAAAUGAUUUAUCAACUGUACAAGGCACUGGGAAAUGUUUUUUCACUUACAUGGGAUCUGAGUGUGGAGCACUAUAAAUUACACAGCAAACACUGUGGUAGCUGAACAAGGCAAUUAAAAUAAUAAAAGGAAUAUUGAUCUAAUAUUAUUUCACUUUUCUGUGCUGCCAGAACACGUUUUAGCAACACACGGAUUUAAAAGCAGAAGAAAAUUCAGAUAAUACAAAAAUAAGUGUGGAGAAAAAGCUGUUUUAUCCCAAGAAAUGGAAGAAUUUCCAAAUCUAUUUAUUGUUUUCUGUUUCAGCACUGGGCAAAUUAAAAUAACCAUUUAAAAAAUGAUGAGAAGAAAAGAGCUUGUGUUUAGGGCAAAAUAAAGAUUUUAAAGCAGCUUGAUGAGGCUGUAACACGAAAUAUUUUCUACUAAAAGCUUCUGCUAUUUUGAUGGGAGUCACAGCAGAGAUUUCCAAACAACAGAGGCACAGGCGCUGCAAAAACCCAAACUCAGCUGAAAACAUCCCAAACACAGCUCAUGCUACAGCCCUGACCACACCAGCAAAUCCUGCAGGGAAUCAAAACUUCAUCUCUCCUUGGACCAGGGUGACGCAUUUCCAAGCAGAACUCCACACUUUGUGCAAACAGCUGGAUUUGGAUUGUCAAACCCAGCACAUCUGGCACGGCCCUGAGCGAGCAGGACAAACAGGGCCCACCGAAGGCAGCCCCUUCCCAAGCGACCUGGGACACCAAAACCAGCCCCAAAACUGCAGCAAAUCCACCCAAACUGGGCUGGCCCAGCCCGGCAGGGCUCAGUGGGGUUUUCUCAGCGAGCUAAAAAGGGCAUUUCAAAGUGCAAAUGAGCGUUUGUUACCAAAAAGGAGUUCACUGCUGGAGCCCUGGCAGUCUGGUAAGGGCUGUAGGUAAAUACUUUGGCUAACCACCAAUUUCCUGAGCGGGUCAGCAGCUAUAAAUUACUCACUUGCCUCAGUUUGGAGCAGCCCAGCAGCUCCUUUAUUGUAAAUCCCUUGCACCAAAUUAAUUUCCAUUACUUCAAGUCGGGCAAGGAGACUGCAGGAUUCAUUCCCAAGUAGCACAGUGGAACAGGCAGGGAAGGAAUCAAAGGUUUCACCCCCUCCAGCCCCGAGGCAGGGACAGCACUUGCCUGGAUGUGCAUUUUAAUCACAGCUUUUCCAAUCAAGGUUGCACCGAAGAAGGUCCAGAAGGGAACCAGAAAGUGGCCACAAGUUAUCCCAGCCAGGUCAAACAGGGGGUUUGGGAUCUGUGGAGUGCAAGGGAAAGAGGUUCAUGAGUUGCAGCACACUUUGGAUGGACAGGAACACGACAGAGUCUGAAAUUUUGAAAAAUGAACAGUUUCCCCUUUUCCAACUCGAUCCAAAACUCUUGUGUCUUAAUAAUUACAAAAAUGUUGAUGUCGCACCACAUAACUUCAGUCUCUGGGAUUCAGCUAGACAAUGUCCCAGACAGUUCCAUUCUCAUGGUCCCUCCUUACCCCUGGAUCCUGAAAAAAGCUAAUGAAAAGUUUUCCAUGUGAAGUGUACAGAAACCACAGCAAAGCCAUUUUGAGUGAUUUAUCAAAUUUUCUCUCUGACAAGCACAUCACUCUUGGAAGCCAGAGUUUCAACUGAUCCCCAGUGAUUUCCAGCUGAGAAACUACAUUAAAAACUGGCAUUUAUAGUCAUAUGUAUCCAGUUUAAAAACACUGAUUAGAUUUUAUUAAGCAUAUGCAUUUCAUUUAAAAUUAAAAGAAUUUUUUAUUAUUAUUAAA